rnacentral:tRNA from 1 species
GGAGGGGAUGAUCAGUGGUAGGGCACGUGCUUAGCAUGCACCAGGUCCUGGGUUCAAUUCCCAGCACCUCCA